rnacentral:rRNA from 1 species
GACGAAGGGGGCUAGCGUUGUUCGGAAUUACUGGGCGUAAAGCGCACGUAGGCGGAUCGUUAAGUCAGGGGUGAAAUCCUGGAGCUCAACUCCAGAACUGCCUUUGAUACUGGCGAUCUCGAGUCCGGGAGAGGUGAGUGGAACUGCGAGUGUAGAGGUGAAAUUCGUAGAUAUUCGCAAGAACACCAGUGGCGAAGGCGGCUCACUGGCCCGGUACUGACGCUGAGGUGCGAAAGCGUGGGAGCAAACAGG